GAACAAAGGCAUGUAAAGAGCAAGAAUAAAUCUGAUAUUGCACUAUGACAAUGGGGAGAAACAUUUUCACAGCUACAAGCACUUAGUUCCUGUCCAUCAGGAGCUAGUGUCCUGCAGGUGUUUGAUCCUCCCUGACAGUUAACAAGCCACACCUGGUCUGUAUCUGCUUGGCACAAGUCGUGGCACAUUAACCAUCAAGGAGGAUCAGAGGGAAGAUCAAAAACUUUGAGGACACCAGCCCUCUGGGGGAAGUUUGCAAGCUCUGGGGAAAAAAACAAGUGGAAGGCUAGACUCCUAACAUUUCAGUGAAACUCUGCUAGACCCAGGCACAAGAUCAGGGCCAGAACCAGACCCCAAAUGGGAAUUCUGGUUCAAGGAAAAAUGUACAGUUCACAUCUUAGGGCAAUUAAGGGAUGUGAGGUUAACCAAACAAUCAUGUUUUUGAACUGUGAGAGAGAACUGGAGCACUCGGAGACACCCCCAAAAGCAGAGCGAAAACAUCCAAACUAUGUUCAGUAAGACCCCAGGCUGGAAUUCAAAUCCAGAACUGUCUUGCUGCAAGGCAUCAGCGCUAACCACCGUCAUUGUGAUGAAACACUGAUUAUGAUGCUUCUGUCUCCAUGUAGAGACAUGAGGUUGCUGAAGUGCUGCAUCUUAUGUUCACUGCAGGAAUCUCCAGUGGAUCAGCUGGAGUUGAAGUCCCAGCUUUGCUUGCCUUCAGGUGAGCUUCUCCUCUGGUGCGCUGAUCCCUACAGAGUGAUUCACUGUGCUGUGAAUUGCCUACAUCCAACCAAAUCCCUCUGAGUUGGCCCACUUUCAAGCCCCUGCUGAAACAUUAUCAGUCGACAAGUGUCUUGUUCACCAUCAAGCCACAAAGUGCCAUUUACGGAAACAUAACACGUUCCAGCUGUUGCUGCUUUCCUGUACCAAAAUGAAAAACUUCCAAGAAUGAAGUGCCACCUGUGCCCAUGCUGAUGGACUGGAAUCUAAUCUUUUCAGCAUAUUGUGAACAAUAGAUUUUAGAAAUGAGGUUUUACUUUGGACAAGCUUCCAUUUGCUUUUAGCAUUAAGCUGCCAAGGUUUAACGUCGACUUUAGAGCGGUCACUGAGCAAUGGCCUUGUGAGAAGGUUAUACUCUGGCAAUAGCACAGUAUUAGUGAUGAGAGCAUAGUUGAUCCUAUCUAUGGUGCUUGUUCAUUUACCUUUCCUGUCACAACCGUGUGUGGAGAAAGCAUGUAAUGAAUAACAUAGCAGAAGACGAACAGCAGGGUAAUUACAGGAUAAUGAAUUCACCUGCAUUUCACUGUCAAUGCGGGAGGGAGGAAAAGAAAAACAUACAACUUGUAGUGUCCUGGAAAUUGCUACCUCUCAACCCAAUAAACUAAUUUAUGGCAUAUGAAAAA